CGCAAACUGCACAGUAUAUGCAAUUCUAUGUCAUAAAACCACUAAAACCUUCACUUCGGGUUAACCAUGUCACGUAUAGUUGCUUGACAAACACUUCAUUGGUAAUUUGCGUAACUGCGACCAGUGUGAGUAUGUGGAAAUAGGUGUGAUCAGUGUUUGAUUGGUUUGUUCUGAGUUGGAAGAUGGGACUUCAGAUGCUCAUCCUGCCCAUCAGAACCUGUUUGUAAUGCAAUACUGGAAGGAGGAGAGGUCUGAUUGAUGAGUUUGCAUAAGACAUGAUGUCAUCACUUGGGAAUGUUAAUAGAUCAUGAGAUGGCCCCUUUUCAUGGAAAGGAUACACACCAAGUGGAUACACACCUUGUUAGCAAACAAAGCUUGACCAAUAACAUCAUUGGGUUGACACAUAAACCAACAUAUCACAAAAUGUAUCUAGUUGACAAAAGUUGUAUGUACCAUUGAAUGUAGUCAUCUCUAUUUUGAGAGAUGUUUCCUAAAUCACUAUGAUAAAUGCCAAAUCUCAAGGGUCCAGGAUUACAUCCCUGAUAAGGGAUCUAAUUGGUUAUGGUGGUUGAUGGGAUGACCUCAUGCCAGCAGUGAUUGCUAGCUGACAACAUCACCAAGACCAGGAAAUAAAAGAUUUUAACCACCUUUUAUUAAACAAUUAAAUCACAGGGUAAAUCACACUCAUCAGGCUUGAAAUCAUACUGGCUUCCUUAUGUUUCAAUAAGUCUAUUGGGUACUAGUAUUCAAUUUCUCAAUUUACAUCAAAUGAUGUUAGAGUUGAUAAAGAAAUAACAGCUUGAAAUUGGGUGGGCAGAUUGCAAGGAUGUACAAUUUGCAUACAAUUCUAUAUAAGCAGGAUGAUUCCAGGAUAGUUGAACGAAUGACAAAUUGAGUCUCCUUCUAAUACAGUCAACACAGUUGCUUUUCUAAGUAAGAAGAAGAUAAUGUCAAAGUUUUUACUUGCAGGAAAGUUUUAUCAUGUUACAUCAACAAUUGUGAUACUCAGAUCCUAAGGGAACCCAUACCAAUCACAAUCCUCAUCAGACUGUAACAUGCUCCCAUGAGCAAUUCUUCUGGUUGCUGUUUUGGAAUUUUAAUGGAGUCAGAAUUAGCCUAUUGUGUUAAGCCACCUGUAAUUGUCACCCCUGCCUGAUCUAAUGAUGUCAUCUGAAGUCAGCAAAAGUGGUUGUUUUGAUAAGACUUGAAUGUAUUUGUGAUUGUUUCUUGGAACCCCUUUUGAGAUGUAAAUAUGAGCCACAUGGAGACUGCCAUGCUGAGUAAUUCAUUUAGAAAUAGUGCAACAUAUUACUAGUGUAUCAAAGUUUAACACCUCACAAUAUGCUAUCUAUUGCCUUUCUAUAUAGGAAUCUGAUUCAACUCUAAGCCUAAAAUGUAUACUGAUUUUGUCUAAAUCUACAACCAGAUGCUGAAAUGGCCUUGCCAUACCUGCCCAUCAAUUUGUUUAGACAUUGUUGAUUUGUAGCCAUUCCAUCAUGUCCUUGGAACAGAAUUCAACUCCAAAGGUGUGGGAAAAAUUCACCAUAAACAACACUAGAACUUUGAGGCGGGAAACUCCACCAUUUGUUUCUAUGAGCCUUUCAAAAUUGGCACUGUAAGUCUUCUCCAGGCUUAAUGAACAGUUGUUUUUGGUUAUCAGCAGAAUGCUAGCAAUUUGGCUGAAUAAUGAGGUAUGGGCUCAGGUGUUAAUGAACUGCUUGCCAAACUGUAGUAAUCAUCAUUUAAAUAGUUUGGAUUUCUAGGUUAUAGAAGCAGGGUAGCUUGAACAAGACUCUGUGUAACGAAUAAUAAUCAUGUUGUUUGAGAGUUGCACUGAUCCAACAGCCUUUCAUUUUGAUGCAAAGAAUUCCCAACACAAAUUAAUUGCCACAUUCAGUUGUUAUCUGGGGAUGCCAUCAAAAUGCAGUGUUCCUGGGGUGGCUUCAAACUGGUGUUGUUUGGAGCAUAGCUCCAGGCCAACCUUGCUGUGUCCUAUGCACUGGUGUAUGUGGAAAGGGAGUCAGUGACAGAUACACUGUUUUGUCAACAUCUCAGGAUGACAUAGUGUUUAGGGGAAACAAGGGAAACACCUCCUGCCUGAGCAAAACCAGAUGCAGGAAGCCUUCAUAGUUAUGCCUGCCCAACUAACAGGUGGCAGCUGUGCAUGGGAAAACUUAUGCCCAAAACCUUCAGGAACAGAAAUGUCAACACAUGAGGACUGAUCCAUCUUCAAACUUUACUGGGGGAGGAAACCUUGAAAUUUCAAGAAAUGGAGGAUGUCCUUACUCUUCCAAGAAAAAGAGGAAAUGUGGUUACUCAAGCAUGCAGCUUUCCACGAAAGACCAGAAAAGCAGGAGCAAUUUGCUUCCCAAAUGGCCUGAAUCAGGACACAAAACAGGAGUCAAGCCACAACAUCCAAUACCAGGUAUGACACCUUUUCUGUGAACCAUGACCAUGACAAUAGAGUUGAUAGACAGCACUGCUGCUCACCUGCUGUUCUCUUGUACAGACAAGUUUAAACUACAGAAGAUGCCUGCCAACAUAAUACAUCUCCCCCACAGUGUGACAACAAACUGACAUUUGUCUGAACAAAAGCCUGCUGAGACGAUGUUUUCAAUGAGAAAAGAGGAGAGCCAACUUUUCAAGUGCUGUUUAACAGACACCUGUGUGUCAGAACUGUAGAAAAACUGAAGAAUAGACAGGUGUAAAUGGACCACUCAGUAACUGUGCUCAUGCCAGAAGCAAGGCAUGUAGAGAGUCAUCAAAGAAUAUUCUGUUUCCUGGAAGGAAAACUGCUGUAUCUGCAAAAUGAAAGAACCAUUCAAUCCAUUUUCUUUAGGAAUUUAGACAUUUAGGAACUAAUUCCAGAGGUUUCAAAAUAUUGCUCAUGGAUAUUGGACUCUACCCUUUCACUAGUAAUGUAAUGUACUGGAAGAAUGCUCCGCUAUCAUGUGUAACUUAUCCAAGGCGUGGUUGACUUCAACUAUCAAUUAUCAAUGUCUGGCUGCUUAACUGGUAUGACCUUCAGGUCAGAAAAUAUCAUGGAUGUGAUUAAAUCCAACACCCAAUGAUAAUGAUUGGAACAGUUUGAUUUUGUCAUGCAUG